rnacentral:rRNA from 1 species
GUGGGGAAUAUUGGACAAUGGGGGGAACCCUGAUCCAGCCAUGCCGCGUGUGUGAAGAAGGCCUUUUGGUUGUAAAGCACUUUAAGCGAGGAGGAGGCUACCGAGAUUAAUACUCUUGGAUAGUGGACGUUACUCGCAGAAUAAGCACCGGCUAACUCUGUGCCAGCAGCCGCGGUAAUACAGAGGGUGCAAGCGUUAAUCGGAUUUACUGGGCGUAAAGCGCGCGUAGGUGGCCAAUUCAGUCAAAUGUGAAAUCCCCGGGCUUAACUUGGGAAUUGCAUUCGAUACUGGUUGGCUAGAGUAUGGGAGAGGAUGGUAGAAUUCCAGGUGUAGCGGUGAAAUGCGUAGAGAUCUGGAGGAAUACCGAUGGCGAAGGCAGCCAUCUGGCCUAAUACUGACACUGAGGUGCGAAAGCAUGGGGAGCAAACAGGAUUAGAAACCCGAGUAGUCC